ACGCCCAGCGCACGCGCAGUGUCAUAUGCAUGCGAAGCCGCGGGGCUCGAAUUAUUCAAGUGGGUGGUCCUAUCGCUGACGUGUGGGGGAGGGGUAGAUGUGUAGAUGGCAGUGUCACCAUGGUCAAACACUGCUACCAGUGCAUGUAGAUUGUAGACCAGUUGUAGUGUGAAACCAGUUCUCUGGGUAAGUGUCUACCCGGUUUCUUCCUCGCCCUGAGCCACAGGAACAUCAUGGAUCACAGAUGGAGGUGACAGGAUUGAUGAAGUCAGGACGUAACAAGACAGUGCACUGACAUGUAAUAAUGAACAUCAUGUCUGGAGAAAGCUCUCGAUACCUGUCUCAUGCAAAGAAUGGCAAGGACCAGCUUGAGUUAGAAGAACAAGAGAAGCAUGCAGACAUGAAGUGUGGUGAUGUAUGUAUUCAUGUAACUUCCAAAUGCAAGUGGGAAAUCAAGUGACUCCACCUGCUUGGAUUUGGCUGUGAUCCUGAACACUGUUUCUGCAUUGUGUCAUCUGUACCUGGGAAUGUGGGAUUUCCAUCUCAUCCUCAUCCUCCAGUUCUUCUUCCUCCUCAUUCUCUUCAUCUAAGGAACAACUCAAAAUGCCAAGAAGUAUUGUUGAUGGGAGGGUUACUGAUGAUGCAGUGUCCAUGAGGUUGAAUUCAUGUGGGGAAAGUAGUGGAAAACAAGAGUCAGUACCAUAUGGAUCCAUUGAUGUGUAUAGCCUAGAAUGCACCAUUGCUUUGAGUACAGUGAAGCUACCAACCUCGAGACAAAUCCAUAAAAUUCUCCAAGGGAGGCUUGUUUGACAAUAGAUGAGACAAUAUACUGUACAAGAGUGUCUCACACUCAUCCAGCUGAGGUUGGGAAAUAACUAGAUGACUUGACUCAAGAACCCCUGUUAAUUACUAGACUCUGCUUCACUUCAGAAAGUCGCACAGCCCAGCAGGACACCACAGGCCCCUUACUGAAUGGAGGAGAAUCCAGCUCGGUGAGAGAUACAACCACGCUGCCAAUCUCCACAGCUCCAACUGGAAGAAACCGUCCCUGCAAGGAAUGAUGCUGCAUUAACAAGCUCCAGACUGGAGAUGGGCGGAACCUACCACAGCGGACUCAGAUAGGUGAGAGUGUGGAGAGCCACAAACAGCAGACUACCUUCAUCAUGGAUUGCUGCAUCCAAUGCCUGGAAGGAGGCUAAGACUACCUUAAGAAAACUAACUCUUGUAGCAAAGACCUGGCAUAGGACAGAUACCUUUCCCAGCCAGGAAAACCACACACCAUAAGAAAAACAUUUAUCUGGGCCAUCCGUUUCUGUGUGUAGCAACUCAAUCUAAUUUCUAUCCAUUUACAUUCAUGUACUCCUGGGCAGAGUGAGGCAAAUUGUGAUCAUGGAACACGAGCACUGUCGCAUCCCAUCGCAUAGCAGAACCACUUGACUACGGUAGUGCAAAGUGGGCCUUAAUCAUGCAUAUUGACAUUUACGUCAGUGUGACAUGGAUGAGUCAUUCUAAGGGAGUGCAUUUUGAAAAUGCAUUGAACCAGGAAGAAAUGAUAUUGGGAAAUAAAAGGUAGAUGCAGUAAGUAAACCAUACCUUUCAUGAAUUUAAGGGAUGCGUGUGUCAUGCUUGUCCAAUGUGUUCUAUACGAAGAUACACUCUCCAUUGUAGGUAACCAUGCAAGAGCUCUAUCGCAAAACUUUUAAAAGAGUUAAUAUUUACGGGAAGAUUUUUCAUUUCAAAUUUAAAGAUAGUACUCCGAGGUGGUAUUUAUAUAAAACAAAGAUGGACAAGGUUUUGCAUUUACCAAACAACGGUGCAGAAUGCUCUGUGGAUCUCGAGUUAUUGAUUACUCUUAAUGUUGACUUUUGCAUAAUACACAAUAGGUAAUGGUACAAAUAGGAGGGGUUAGUGUUAUCCCAAGCUACAAAAUACAAUAUUGAAGGUGUGGCAUGGACAAGGUAUAUAAAUUAAGAAUAAGAUAUCGGUCAUGUUUAAGUGUUCUUAAUUUUUUGCCUUGGUUCCGAGAAAGUGACAUGAGGACUUUUUGCCAAUGUUGCUUCCAAGAAAGUUUGUUAUCACUAAUUACACCUAAAUAUUUACAGGUAUCAACUUGUUCUAUCUGUGUAUUAUUCAAGUAAACAGUGAUAUUCCUAGUAACUUUACAAUUAGCAAACAACAUACAUUUGGUUUUAUUGAAGUUAAUGGAUAAAUAAGCACAUUCAAGCCACUCGAAGAUUUUGCAUAGUUUCCGAUUAAUAGUGUGAAUUGCCUUAGGUAAGUACUUACUGCAAUGGAAAACAUUAGUGUCAUCCGCAAAUUAAAUAAAGGAGAGUAUACUCGACGAGUUACAGAUAUCAUAUUUGUAAAUCAGAAAAAGUAUAGUACCAAGUAUUGAGCAAUGAGGGACGUCACGUCUGAUUGGUGCAAAUGAAGAGUUGAUGUUCUACCAUACAACAUACUGUUUCCUGUCGCUUACGUAAUUUUUGAACCAUUCUAGAGCAACUCUAAUUCCAUAUUUAUUUAGUUUACUAAUCAGUUUCUUUAUGAUCUUUUGUGUCAGAAGUCUUUGACAGAUCCAAAAAUAACCCAGUCGUAUAAAGACAGUUGUCGAGUGAUGAACUUAUUUUUAUCAAGGUCGAUCAGUGCAAGUUGAGUUGAGUAGCUGGCUCUAAAUCCGUAUUGUGUUAAAUGUUACAUUAUCAAUUAAGUUGUACGUUCGAAUUGCUACCAGUCUUUCUGGUAAUUUAGAGAAACACAGUAAAAUAGAAAUAGGGCAGUAGUUGCUCAUAAGAGAUGGGUCACUAGUUUUGUAUAUCGGGAUAACAUUAGUUGUUUUUAAAUCAUCAGGUACUUCACCAGCAUCAAAAGAGCGGUUGAAGAUUGUUGCCAGAGGACAGGUUUUUCAACUAUCCAAUAGCCGAAGUGCAGUUUGUCGACAAAGAAGUAUUUGUAGAAAAUAACUCUGGGACAAAUGUAUGUUGUCAUAACUGCGGAGGAGAGAUCCUUGAGCUAACUAACCAAAUCAGUCAUUCCAAAAGAUGACAAUCCACGUGUUCAUACAUACAGUGCUUUCAAGGUUCCUUAAACUACUCUGAUACUUCCAAAGAUAGAAAUUACUAACUAUACAAUCAACUACGGUAUGAGAAUUUAAGUAGAACCUCGAAUACACAACUAGUUGGACACUGGAAAAACAUGUUAAGUAUUGACGGGCGGAUUUACUCUAUUUGCAGCUUGGCCAAUAACUGUCAAUGAACAAUGCUCCAAAGUAAAUUGUGUGAACAUCCUCCCCAAAAGAGAAAAAAACAAAGAAACGAACACAGACUUCGGCACUGCACUGGUUUAUUUAUUUCCGUUAUAAAUCUUUUCAGUUUUCUUGUAUUAAUUGACUGUGUGAAACAAAACUGUAUGUACAUGUAAAUAUAAUGUACAAGUAAAUAUAAAUAAAAAUGUAAACACUCGUUUUAUUUAUUUAAGCCAUUAAGUAUGUACAUACACUUGUAGAAUGUAAAACUUUUACUGCUUAUAGUUAGUUACUCAAAAAAACGUAUUUUAUUUCUUCCGUUAAAUUAAUGUACACGUGCAAAUAGUA
rnacentral:lncRNA from 1 species